rnacentral:rRNA from 1 species
GACGAACGCUGGCGGCGUGCUUAACACAUGCAAGUCGAACGGAAAGGCCCUGCUUUUGUGGGGUGCUCGAGUGGCGAACGGGUGAGUAACACGUGAGUAACCUGCCCUUGACUUUGGGAUAACUUCAGGAAACUGGGGCUAAUACCGGAUAGGAGCUCCUGCUGCAUGGUGGGGGUUGGAAAGUUUCGGCGGUUGGGGAUGGACUCGCGGCUUAUCAGCUUGUUGGUGGGGUAGUGGCUUACCAAGGCUUUGACGGGUAUCCGGCCUGGGAGGGUGACCGGCCACAUUGGGACUGAGAUACGGCCCAGACUCCUACGGGAGGCAGCAGUGGGGAAUAUUGCACAAUGGGCGGAAGCCUGAUGCAGCAACGCCGCGUGCGGGAUGACGGCCUUCGGGUUGUAAACCGCUUUCGCCUGUGACGAAGCGUGAGUGACGGUAAUGGGUAAAGAAGCACCGGCUAACUACGUG